rnacentral:tmRNA from 18 species
GGGGCUGACCGGCUUUGACAGCGUGAUGAAGCGGUAUGUAAGCAUGUAGUGCGUGGGUGGCUUGCACUAUAAUCUCAGACAUCAAAAGUUUAAUUGGCGAAAAUAACUACGCUCUCGCUGCGUAAUCGAAGAAUAGUAGAUUAGACGCUUCAUCGCCGCCAAAGUGGCAGCGACGAGACAUCGCCCGAGCAGCUUUUUCCCGAAGUAGCUCGAUGGUGCGGUGCUGACAAAUCGGGAACCGCUACAGGAUGCUUCCUGCCUGUGGUCAGAUCGAACGGAAGAUAAGGAUCGUGCAUUGGGUCGUUUCAGCCUCCGCUCGCUCACGAAAAUUCCAACUGAAACUAAACAUGUAGAAAGCAUAUUGAUUCCAUGUUUGGACGAGGGUUCAAUUCCCUCCAGCUCCACCA